rnacentral:rRNA from 1 species
CGAUCUUCUUCGGAAGAGAGCGGCGGACGGGUGAGUAACGCGUGGGUAACCUGCCUCAUACAGGGGGAUAACAUUUGGAAACAGAUGCUAAUACCGCAUAAGAUUACAGUACCGCAUGAUACAGUGAUCAAAGGAGCAAUCCGCUGAAAGAUGGGCUCGCGUCCGAUUAGAUAGUUGGUGAGGUAACGGCUCACCAAGUCGACGAUCGGUAGCCGGACUGAGAGGUUGAACGGCCACAUUGGGACUGAGACACGGCCCAGACUCC